GAGUUUGAUCCUGGCUCAGGAUGAACGCUGGCGGCAUGUCUAAGGCAUGCAAGUCGAAAGCCGGUUUACCGGCUUGGCAAACGGGUGAGUAACACACUGGUAAUCUACCCCAAAGUCGUGAAUAACCCAUUGAAAAAUGGAAUAAUACACGAUGUGUUCCCCGGUUAAUUACCGGGGAGUAAAGAUUUAUCGCUUUGGGAGGAGCCUAUGGCCCAUCAGCUUGUUGGUAAGGUAAAAGCUUACCAAGGCUACGACGGGUAGCGGGUGUGAGAGCACGACCCGCCUCACGGGGACUGAGACACUGCCCUGACUCCUACGGGAGGCUGCAGUCAAGAAUCUUUCACAAUGCGCGAAAGCGUGAUGGAGCAAUGCCGCGUACGGGAUGAAGCCCUUCGGGGUGUAAACCGUUUUUCUCAAGGAAAAACUUUGAUGGUACUUGAGGAAUAAGAGGUUGCUAACUCUGUGCCAGCAGCAGCGGUAAUACAGAGACCUCAAGCGUUAUCCGGAUUUAUUGGGCGUAAAGCGUCUGUAGGCGGUUUAUUAAGUCUUCGGUCAAAUCUUAGGGCUCAACCCUAAAACUGCCGGGGAAACUAGUAGACUAGAGACUGGGAGAGGCAAUUGGAACCGUCGGUGUAGUAGUAAAAUGCGUUAAUAUCGACAGGAACACUCAGGGCGAAGGCAUAUUGCUGGAACAGUUCUGACGCUGAGAGACGAAAGCGUGGGUAGCGAAUGGGAUUAGAUACCCCAGUAGUCCACGCCGUAAACGAUGGAUGCUAGACAUUGGUAGUAUCGACCCUAUCAGUGUCGCUGAACUAAGUUAACACGUUAAGCAUCCCGCCUGGGGAGUACGAGCGCAAGCUUAAAACUCAAAGGAAUUGACGGGGACCCGCACAAGCGGUGGAGCACGCGGUUUAAUUCGAUACUACGCGUGGAACCUCACCAAGGCUUGACAUCCCGGGAAUCUCUUGGAAACAAGAGAGUGCCGCAAGGAACCCGGUGACAGGUGCUGCAUGGUUGCCGUCAGCUCGUGUCGUGAGAUGUACCGUUAAGUCGGGUAACGAGCGCAACCCUUAUCCUAUGUUAAAUUGUACAUAGGAAACUGCCCCGGACAGAGUCCACAAAUUAAUUUGUGGACUCUGUCCGGGGAGGAAGGUGGGGAUGACGUCAAAUCAGCAUGGCUCUUACGCCUUGGGCUACACGCAUGCUACAAUGGCCAGUACAAAGGGCCGCCAACCCGUAAGGGGGAGCCAAUCCCAUAAAACUGGUCCCAGUUCGGAUUGAGGUCUGCAAUUCGACCUCAUGAAGUCGGAAUCGCUAGUAACCGUGCAUCAGCCACGGCACGGUGAAUACGUUCUCGGGUCUUGCACAC
rnacentral:rRNA from 1 species